ACUCCAAGGGACUUCUCUUCACAUAAUUUUGCUUUUUCACUUCAGGUCUUUUCUCCAUUCUGUAAAGUAAGGAAAUGGUCUGUGUCAAUCCAGGUAGAUCAGGUUAUGCUGCGGUAACAAAUGAUCCCCAAAUCUCAAUGGCUUUAAAAAAAUGAAGACUUAUUUCUCACUCAUUCUGUGUAUCCUUGCAGGAUCUGCUGCAGCUCUGCUACAUGACAUCUGCAUCCUGGGACCCAGAGUGACGGAACAGCUUCACACAGGAACAUUACCAGUUGUCCUGGCAGGAAGAAAAGGGAGAAGUUUCUGCUUGAAGAGCACCUGAUUUAUACUCUGCAGACUGGUUCCAUGCCAAGUUUUCUCCAUCUCAGGAAAUGCCACCAGCAUCCACCCAAAUCUAAGAGCCACGGAGUCCAGGGACCAGAACUUUCCCCAGAGCCUACACAGGGACUGGAUUGUAAUAUACUCCAUAAAGGCUGAUCCUAUGCAGGGCCCCGGUUCUCAGAUUUGGCAGGUUCCAGGGCAUGGCCCAGACACCAGGAGUUUUAAAUGCUCCCGGGUGGUUUGAAUGGACACUGAGGUGGAGGACCACUGAAGUACAGCAACUGUGAAUAAAGAGCUGCUCUAGAACAUUUGUGUCUACGCUCCUGAGGAUACCUAGCAUUCAGGGCUGAAAUACCCAGGUGAUGACCAACCCCCGAGGGGCAGCCCCUGUUGUAAGACAGUGACCAGGGCUGGGGGCUCGGAGACUGUGACCUGUAAGGAUUCAGGAACAGACUCUGUGCUGUGUAUUUGCUGUCGAGUGUGCUCACUCUCCAAGCCUUGUUAGCUGAGGUUUUGUGACACCGAAGAACCCUCUGAUGAGAAAUCGGAGGACUGACUAGUUGUGGGAAGUUUAUGGCAUGAAAACGAAGUUUUAAAAGAAAAGCCAUCUCUAGCUGAUGUCCCAGGUGAAUGUUUAAGUGUCUUUAAAGAUGUCUGUACAAAUCUACUCAAAGAAACUUUGUGUGCUUCACUGAGAACAUGGAAUUCAGGAAUGUUAGAGCAGUAAGGGACCUCCUCACUUCCGGGAUAACCUUGGCCUACUUAUUGCAGUUAAAAGACAGGAGACGUUCACAAGGUGGACUAACGCUGUAUCAUAAAUAUGGUGUCUUUACUUACUGGGUGUUCUGUUUGAGAGCCGUCUUUAGAAAACUUAUGUACAGAUAAAUAAUUUAAAACUAAGUUAUGGUCUUUCCUAUAAAGAGUUGGUCAUCAUGUCCAAAUAUUACCUUAGGUCUAUGGGAAAGUUAGCUUCAGUUUCAUCCUCAUAGAGGCUCUGGCAGCUCUUCAGUGCCGUGAGACACCAGGGCCGAAGGUGGUUUGGGGGUGUUCGUAGAGAGGACUGGUCUUGGACCCACUGAGAGGCCUCAGAUUAGGGAAAAGCGACUCUUUUUGUGAGCUCCAAACAAAGGCCUUCUUUCUUUAUGGCCAGUCAGUCCUAUUAGCGAAGGAGAACACAGUGAUUGUAGGUUCACUGUGACUGAAAAAAGAACUAAUUAAUUUUGCAUUGAUGACAUUCAGAUUAGUCAUCUUAGUUAAAAAACUCCUUUUCAAAAUUCUCUAAAAAUGAAUGCCCGCUAGUAUUUUGGGAUCUCUUCAAAAAAAAAAAAAUUCCUUAACUUUUAUCCCAUAAAAACUGUAGUCAAAUUUCAGCUCCCGGUGUGCCCUACUUCUAGGACUUUGCUAGAGUCAAGCAGUUGUCUUCAAGACUGGCCACGAGAAUUCUGCCUCUGGUGACAGGGAGGAAGCACCGUGUGUGACUCUGGGGGUGGGGGUGUGUGUCCUGAGGGAGUCGUCUUUCUUUUCACCUUCCUGAUCCUUUCUAGACUCAAGAAGACGAUGGGCUCAGUGCUUCCGGAGUCAAUAUUUCCAAAAGCAGCCGGGGCAGCAAAAUCUGUACGUAAGUGGCUGUAAGAUAGUGAGUGGCUGACGGCAGUCUCGAGGAAGCCCAGCUCUCAGGCCACGGAGGCUGUGUCUCCCCACUUGAGGUGGCGCACGAUGAAAGUCCCCAGGGCCCCCAGGGGGAUGCACAUGGUAGAGGAGGCCACGAGCAGCCCAAUGAUGGCCAGUGCAUACGGGGGGUAGUCCUUGGUCACAAGCUGGCCCUGAAGAAGGAACCUGAGUGUCAGAAGAAAGAACCUCCCGUGCGGAGCCUUCUGAGGGCACCACCCCUCCGGGCCUCAGGCCCUCCAGCGGGAGGAAGAGAGCAUCCUUACACCCGGGGCUGCCCCAGCUCUGCGUGCAGGUCACUAGUGGCUCUGCUGGGCACACUAACUCCCCCUGUGCAUACUGUUUGGAGCUACCUGGAAAGAGCAACCAUGAGAAUAAUCCAAGGCUUAUGUUCAAGACAGCAGCAGGGCACCUAAAUGUAGGGGCUACCCUUGCCCAGUGCUGUCCAAUACAGCAGCCACCAGGCACAGGUGGCCAUUGAGCACUGGGAAUGUGGCCGGUGAUGCUCAAGAAAUGAAUUUUAAAUUUUGUUUAAUUUUAAUGAGUUAAAUUUCAAUAGCCAUAUGUGGUUAUUAGUGUCUGUGUCCAGCAGCACAACUCUCAUCUCAGGAGAAGUGUUGAUGGACCUCAGGACUUAGCUGGAAGAAUGAUGGAUGUUUCCCUAGAUGCAAAACUGAUGAGAAACCAGUUGAGGCCCAAAAGCCAAUAAAUGCUAUGCUACCUUUCCACAAAGGAACCAGAGAAAGCUAAGUUCAGGGAGCAGGUACUUGCUGUCAACCAAAGCACGUACGGUUUGUAAACCAAAAUGCCACACGGAGUGUGGCCGCGGGAACCAGCCCACAGACUUCUGUUGCUCAUCUGUUACUCUUUGUGUUCUGUGUAUGAGUACAGGAAUUGGGAGGAAACAUAAAUGAUUUUAGCAGUUUGACAGCAUAAUCCUGUGUCUGCUGAAUCCGAUACAUAUUUGGUGCUUGUAUUGCUCUACCUUUUUUUUUUUUUUUUUAAAGGAAUUCACUGUUAAUUGCAUUUUCCAAAAGUAUCAGGGUGCACGGACUGGAGGAAACACCCUGCUCCUCCACUGUGGGGUGGGAAGCCCUGCUCGGCACCACUGCCAGAACCAGACAUGGGGGCACCUUCCCAGCCAUGGUGCAGCGUGGAGUGUGUGGACUGGAGCACGGGCCCUGUGCACCCUGUCUGCACACUCCACACACACCAUACGCUAAGGGGCAGCAUCUUCUACCCACAGGGAAAGAAAUCCAAAUUGGUCAGUUGUAUUAAUUUCCUUAAAAAGUAAAUUUUUUAUGAGAGUGUGUCUGUGCAAGGACAGCCAAGGCUGAUCCUCAGGCCCGGGGCAGUGAUACAGCUGUCCAGGUUGUUAAAACACUGAUGUGCUGCCCUCUGCUGGGUGAGCAGAUGCAGCCCAGCCUCCUGAGUGCCCCCCUCAGUCCCCCAUUCUGUCCUAGCAACUCCAGUGUAAACGCCAGUCCCUGCCCCACCUAGCUCCUCAGGGGCCAUGCCCUCCAGCCUUGCUUGGCCUUUUUCCUGAGUGGCCUCAGUGGAUAGAGGCCACCAGGAAGUUCUGGACGGAAUCUCACUCUCUUCACUGCAGCCCAUGUUGAAAAACUCACAGCCCAGCUCCGCUGUCCUGGGCUGAGUAUUUUUACAUACCUGGGUGAUGUUUCCACGUUGUGACAAAUAACCUACCCCCACCCUGGAGAGAGUUCCUUGGUUCCAGAAAACUAGAGGCCCGUGCUCGUGAGCGAGCCUGGGGCCUUAGAUGGCAGAUACCUGGGAGGCGUCCCAGGCUUGGUACUGCAGGGUCCCCGUGACGAUGUAGUCACUCAGGUAGAAGACAAAGAGGCUGAUGAUGAGCAGCGGGCUCACACCGCCCCACAUGGCCUUCCAGUACCAGUUCAGAGCGUGUCCAGUCAUAGC